AGCCGAAAGACACAAACAAACAUGUACAUUCUGAUUUUAUUUAUUUAUGGGCAUUGUAGGAUGAGGUUAGGCUCCCUGAUGUUACAAACUAUGUAACAUACAAAACUGAAGAAUGAAAAUUUGUUCUUUGAUCAGGGCAUAAAGCUGAAAAUGUGAGAUUUCACCAUUUAAAAUGAGCUAGAGAAACAGAAGGCAGAUGAGAGAACAGAAGGACAUGAAUACAUAUAUGACACUUUUUCUGAAUUCCUUACCAAAAUACUGGUACUUGCUAAUGGAGAUAGUUCCAUGGAGGAGUCAUGUAUAAACAAAAUAGUAUCCAUAUAUACUUACAUAUGUGCAUGCAUACAUAUAUAAAACUAAAUAAAAUCAGUUAGAAAAGAAAUGUAAGUGAUACAGUUAAGGAGAAUGUUUGCCAUAUUGGGAGAAGAAUACCACUAGCAAACCAGCAGAUAGGCAACAUAAAUAAUAAUAUAUGGUUUGUAUGUAAGUACUGUGAUAGCUACCCUUGUGGACAAUUUUAAGCCUGGCUAAUCCUCCUUAGUAAGAAUUAAACACUGUACAUUUUGUUUGUGAGGCAAACACUUUAGCCAUUAUGCCAGCUCGCAUUGAAAUAUAGGUUCACGGGUAAGUACUAGCCUAGGUGCACUCAUGGGCCAUUAUAAGCUUAGCCAGUAUCAGGUAGAUACUUUAAACAUUAUGCCAUCCUCCAAUAAAAAAUAAAAUUAUAAUAAUAAUACCUUGUAGUUUGAUGUUUAAUGCAAUUAUGUUUUAAUAUAGGGAGUCUCUCCUUUGAUAUGAGAUGGGAGAGCUGGACCUAUGUAGAAAAUGCACAUAUCUAGGUUCAUAGACAAGUAGCAGACUAGCUUGUGUGCCAUUUUAAGUUUAGCCAGUUUCCCUUUUGGUACUUUGAAUUAAGUUAUCUCAUUUGGUGUUAGAUUGGCCUUCCCAUGGUUGAUAAUUAUAUAUAGUCCCUAAUGAAACUAACUGGGAUCAUACCAUAAAUAAUUUGAGGGGGCCCAUGCAUGUAAUAAAGCAUUUUAGAACUGCCUCUACCAAUUAGUAGUAGAUGGGGCAGUCCUGGAGUAAAUUUUCAGUUUCCCAAAAAACAGAUCCAA